UGAUCCUGACUCUAGGUGGCGGAGGGAAAGGGGCGAGGUGGCCUCAUUUGGGGGUUACAACUUGUGGAAGAAAAGAUGCCUUGAGUUGGGAGGGAUGGGUGCCUCUGGAUGUAGAUGAACAAAAAUCCCCUGCACCUGAGAUCGCCCAGAGAAGAUUAUGGGUUUCCUGGGGGUCUCGACAUCAAUUCUCCUAGGGAUCGGGUUCAGUUGUUUAGAACCAGACUCGCCUUUCCCACCAGCCCGGGCCAAGUCUGGGCUCCCUUUCGCGCCCGGGCUGCUACUGAGGCACCUCAGCCAGUUGGAGGUCUUAUGCUUCACUGCUUCGGUCACAAAAGAGGGUGGGAGGACUCUGUUAGAAAAUCUCAAUUGUCUCUCAAGCUUAUCUUCUAGGGGGGGAAAUGGGUAACCUCUCUCCCUGGACACGGAAAACUUGUUGCUAGGCAACGAGUUUUGAAGAGAGACCCAUUUGUUGGAAUCAAAUCUGGAUUCGAAUUUCACAUGGAAGAGAUAUGAUCACUAUCUUAAGGACCCCCUGGGGACCUGCACUUCACUUGAUGGUGAAAAUAUGCAGGCUUAUGCGAUGCUAGCAGAUGCAGUUUGAAGACCACGGCUUGGGAAGAAGACUGUCCCUAAUUCUGCCAUGGGAGUGCUGGUGGUGCUGAGGCUAGAGCUGCUGGUAGCCUCAUUCUUGGAGAGUUAUUUUCCAGGAAAAAUAAGAACAAGGAAGAUCACAUUCCUACAGUCAUCUUUGCUGGAGGGUUUUUAACUAUCACCUCCUGUUAGAACCCAAACAAAUGACAGAAAUGAGUUCCAAUAUGGAGUUAGCACAAUGUCCCAACUGAAGAGGCCUGCAGGACCACGAUGGAACUUCAGGCCCAGAGCCUUCAUCCAGUAACUGAUGGAAGAAGAUGCAGAGAUCCACAGCCAAGCACCGGGCUGAGCUCCAGGAGUCCAGCUGAAGAGAGAGAAGAGGGAUUCUAUGAGCAAGGAGGUCAAGAUCAUGAUGGGGAAACCUACAAAGACAGCCAAACCAAGCUAGUAGGAAUCGUGAACUUUAGACCAACAGCUGUGGAGCCUCCAUGGGACUGAACUAGGCCCUCUGCAUAAUCAAGACAGUUGUGCAGCUUGGUCUGCUUAAGGGGCCCCCUGGCAGUAGGAUCAGGAUCUAUCCCUGGUGCAUGAGCUGGCUUUUUGGAAACCAUUACCUAUGGUGGGACACCUUGCACAGCCUUGAUGCAGGGGGAGAGGCUUGGACCUGCCUCAACUGAAUGUACCAUGGGAGGUACUGACUCCCCAUGGGAGGCCUUACCUUUUCAGAGGAGGGAAUGUGGGGUACAUUGG